rnacentral:rRNA from 1 species
UUUGAAAGCUCAUACCUGCUUGUCAGUGCCCGAUUUGCCUGAUGCCUCGCCUAAAUUUUUAAGCUAAGCAAGGCUGGGUCUGGUUAGUAUUCGGAUGAAAGACCGCUGGGAAUACCAGGUGCCACAG